GACGAACGCUGGCGGCGUGCUUAACACAUGCAAGUCGAACGGAAAGGCCUGCUUUCCCUUGUGUAUUGCGGGUACUCGAGUGGCGAACGGGUGAGUAACACGUGAGUGAUCUGCCCCCAACUUGGGUAUAAGCCUGGGAAACUGGGUCUAAUUCCCGACAGGUCCGCAGGGUGGUUCCUGUGGUGGAAAACGAUUUUCUAGUGGUUGGGGAUGAGCUCGCGGCCUAUCAGCUUGUUGGUGGGGUAAUGGGCUACCAAGGCGGCGACGGGUAGCCGGCCCGGGAGGGCGGACGGGCACGUUGGGCCUGAGAUACGGCCCAGACUACUACGGGAGGCAGCAGUGGGGAAUAUUGCACAAUGGGCGGAAGCCUGAUGCAGCGACGCCGCGUGGGGGAUGCCGGCCUUCGGGUUGUGAACUCCUUUCGGCCGCGAGGAAGCCACCUGGUUGGAAGGGUGGUGACGGUAGUGGUAGAAGAAGCACCGGCUAACUACGUG
rnacentral:rRNA from 1 species